rnacentral:rRNA from 1 species
CAGCCGUAAACUAUGCGCGUUAGGUGUACUGGUGACCACGAGUCACCGGGGUGCCGAAGGGAAACCGUGAAACGUGCCGCCUGGGAAGUACGGUCGCAAGGCUGAAACUUAAAGGAAUUGGCGGGGGAGCACCGCAACGGGAGGAGCGUGCGGUUUAAUUGGAUUCAACACCGUAAAACUCACCAGGGAAGACUGUUACAUGAAGGCCGAGAUGAAGACUCUGCUAGAUUUCAGAGAGGAGGUGCAUGGCGUCAGUGCU